UUUCUUUUCCUGUCAUAGUUAUAUCUGCAAUAACAAUUCUUGAGUUGAAUUCCUAAGGUUUCAUUUAUGCUAACAAUAAAUUCCUGUCCUUAUAUAUAAGAUGUACUUCCUGUUUGCCCACAGAAGGAGAUAGGGAGCACAACUUGCUUCUCCAGCUCUGAGCUAAGCCAUGAAAACAUUACUUAUUAGCAAUAUUGAAACAGUGUCACUUACAUCGGCUGAAGUUUUUUCUGUCUGCCACGCAACCAAAAGAAAAUCAAGAAAAAUGAUUUUCAGGAGUGGAAGAGGGUGUUACUCUGUGGAUGUGUGAAAAACACAGAGUACUGAUUUCAGCUCUGAUGUCAGGGAACUGAGAUUUCACCCAAGGAAAUUUCAUCCUGAAAGACACCUUUAGCCUCCAAGAAAACUGAGCCAAGCCCAGCCACCUACUGAGGCUGAAGGACACAGACCUCCCUUGUGACUGAAUAUCCCUACCAUCUUCUGGGCUGGAGGAAAACACAGAAGGUACAUUAUAAAUAGAAAAUUGAAAAAAGAGAACCAACGAAAAACACCAACCUUGAACCAAGAGGAAUGUAUUAUCUGCAACUGUGAUUAAGAAGAGUGAGAUUUAAUGCUCCAAAAUAACACUGUGAGAGCUAUGGAAAUGCCUGGAGGAUAUCACGGAAGAAAUAAGCAUCUACUAGGUACAUAUGUACCUGUACACGUCUGCCUAAUUAUCUUUAGUUGAUGGGAUAUGCAGAAGUAACUUUGACUCAGUUAAGUUUCAGGUUAAAAAAACAUACACAGGGGCAGCUCCGAAAGUAAUACCUCCUGUUAUAUUAUGUUGGCCCACAGCAUCAGAGGUGGAUGUUGGUAGUAUGGCAUUAGAACCUUCUCACCAAUAUCCCAUUCUAUUUUAUUACCAUUUCACAGAUGGCAGCAGAGGGGCAGUCUAACACCAUGAUGUCUGACAUGGAAGUGCAGGUGAAGAAUGGGUGUGUCAUUCAUUGAAUUCCUCCAUGUGGAAAAAAAUGGUGCCCAUUGACAUUCACUAACAUUUGCUGAACAUUUAUGUAGACCAACCAGUAGAUUUGAGCACAGUAAGGGGUGGAUGGUGCGUUUCAGCAGUGCAGACAGCAACAGUGGGUCACCUCUGCUGGUGCAGGCUUUUCUAAGUGCAGCAUGCAGGCUCUUGUUCUUUGCUGGCAAAAAUGCAUAGCUCAUGGUGAUGUCUAUGUUGAAAAAUAGUGUUUUGUAGCUGCGAAUUUGGUCUAUCAAACAGUGCUAUUGUGCUCUUCGUAGCUGCUGUAUGUUCCAUGGAAAUAAAUAGGAGACAUUACAUUCAGAGUGACCUAAAGACGUGAGUAUAUAUAUACAUAAGAACACUUUCUAUCUUCUUACUAUUAACAAAGUAUUUUAUUUUCUAUGGAUCAUAAAUAUACAAUAUUAUUUCCCAUAUAAUAUAUUUGGGUAAGGUGGCUGGUCUAUUUCAGUCAACCAAUAUAAUCUGAAGACAUACGUUUACAGAGCAAGAAUGAAGGGAACAUGAAUGACCUCCUUAAAACAGUAGUUAUUCACUGGACAGGGGAAAGUUCUCACGUUGUUCUGGGGAUAACUGGUGAUUUUGGGCACCCAAAGCAUUCAGUACUUUCAUAACAUCUGCUCAGAAACAAACAAGCACAACAUUACUUUUGUUGCUUUGUCCUAUCAGACUCUACAUGUUUAUGGUCAUAGACUAUUGACUCCGUCUUCUCAGAAAUUAAAUACCUGAGCCUGAAUUAUUCACAAGUGGAUCUUUUUACAGUCUGUUGAAAGAAACAACCAUUUCCAGCAGGCAAUUCCUCUUCCUUUAAGUUAAAUCCUUAAAGCUAAUCACCCUCCAGAAACACUUGUUUCUCUUAACUGGUCUUUGAAGGUGAACAGCUCAUACUGAGAUGUCAAGAAGCUGCCUAUUUAAUGUUAGGUAAGAUGAAUCCCUCUCAAAAUCUGUAUGUGGAGGCACAUAAUAGAUGUUAGGUUCCUGCCUAUGUCUAAUCAAGAGGCUGUAAAACAAUAUCACAUACUGUGUAUGGCUGCAAAGACAGCUGUGUAUAGGACUGUGUAGUAUCCUCUAGCUAUGAAGUCUUGAACUUUAUAGAAAUCUAAUGAAGUCAGUUAUUGAUUUUGGAAACAAACACAAUUUGAUUUAUUUAUUUUACAAAAAGAGGUGUUAUGAAUGUUGUUUUCUUUAUAUUUUUAAAU
ensembl:lncRNA